GAUCAUGGCUCAGGAUGAACGCUGGCGGCGUGCUUAACACAUGCAAGUCGAGCGAAGCGGUUUUAAUGAAGUUUUCGGAUGGAUUUGAAAUUGACUUAGCGGCGGACGGGUGAGUAACGCGUGGGUAACCUGCCUUACACUGGGGGAUAACAGUUAGAAAUGACUGCUAAUACCGCAUAAGCGCACAGGGCCGCAUGGUCUGGUGUGAAAAACUCCGGUGGUGUAAGAUGGACCCGCGUCUGAUUAGG
rnacentral:rRNA from 1 species